rnacentral:rRNA from 1 species
GGGUUGUGAGGUUAAGCGACUAAGCGUACACGGUGGAUGCCCUGGCAGUCAGAGGCGAUGAAGGACGUGCUAAUCUGCGAUAAGCGUCGGUAAGGUGAUAUGAACCGUUAUAACCGGCGAUUUCCGAAUGGGGAAACCCAGUGUGUUUCGACACACUAUCAUUAACUGAAUCCAUAGGUUAAUGAGGCGAACCGGGGGAACUGAAACAUCUAAGUACCCCGAGGAAAAGAAAUCAACCGAGAUUCCCCCAGUAGCGGCGAGCGAACGGGGAGCAGCCCAGAGCCUGAAUCAGUGUGUGUGUUAGUGGAAGCGUCUGGAAAGGCGCGCGAUACAGGGUGACAGCCCCGUACACAAAAAUGCACAUGCUGUGAGCUCGAUGAGUAGGGCGGGACACGUGGUAUCCUGUCUGAAUAUGGGGGGACCAUCCUCCAAGGCUAAAUACUCCUGACUGACCGAUAGUGAACCAGUACCGUGAGGGAAAGGCGAAAAGAACCCCGGCGAGGGGAGUGAAAAAGAACCUGAAACCGUGUACGUACAAGCAGUGGGAGCACAGAGCAAUCUGUGUGACUGCGUACCUUUUGUAUAAUGGGUCAGCGACUUAUAUUCUGUAGCAAGGUUAACCGAAUAGGGGAGCCGAAGGGAAACCGAGUCUUAACUGGGCGUUAAGUUGCAGGGUAUAGACCCGAAACCCGGUGAUCUAGCCAUGGGCAGGUUGAAGGUUGGGUAACACUAACUGGAGGACCGAACCGACUAAUGUUGAAAAAUUAGCGGAUGACUUGUGGCUGGGGGUGAAAGGCCAAUCAAACCGGGAGAUAGCUGGUUCUCCCCGAAAGCUAUUUAGGUAGCGCCUCGUGAAUUCAUCUCCGGGGGUAGAGCACUGUUUCGGCAAGGGGGUCAUCCCGACUUACCAACCCGAUGCAAACUGCGAAUACCGGAGAAUGUUAUCACGGGAGACACACGGCGGGUGCUAACGUCCGUCGUGAAGAGGGAAACAACCCAGACCGCCAGCUAAGGUCCCAAAGUCAUGGUUAAGUGGGAAACGAUGUGGGAAGGCCCAGACAGCCAGGAUGUUGGCUUAGAAGCAGCCAUCAUUUAAAGAAAGCGUAAUAGCUCACUGGUCGAGUCGGCCUGCGCGGAAGAUGUAACGGGGCUAAACCAUGCACCGAAGCUGCGGCAGCGACGCUUAUGCGUUGUUGGGUAGGGGAGCGUUCUGUAAGCCUGCGAAGGUGUGCUGUGAGGCAUGCUGGAGGUAUCAGAAGUGCGAAUGCUGACAUAAGUAACGAUAAAGCGGGUGAAAAGCCCGCUCGCCGGAAGACCAAGGGUUCCUGUCCAACGUUAAUCGGGGCAGGGUGAGUCGACCCCUAAGGCGAGGCCGAAAGGCGUAGUCGAUGGGAAACAGGUUAAUAUUCCUGUACUUGGUGUUACUGCGAAGGGGGGACGGAGAAGGCUAUGUUGGCCGGGCGACGGUUGUCCCGGUUUAAGCGUGUAGGCUGGUUUUCCAGGCAAAUCCGGAAAAUCAAGGCUGAGGCGUGAUGACGAGGCACUACGGUGCUGAAGCAACAAAUGCCCUGCUUCCAGGAAAAGCCUCUAAGCAUCAGGUAACAUCAAAUCGUACCCCAAACCGACACAGGUGGUCAGGUAGAGAAUACCAAGGCGCUUGAGAGAACUCGGGUGAAGGAACUAGGCAAAAUGGUGCCGUAACUUCGGGAGAAGGCACGCUGAUAUGUAGGUGAAGUCCCUCGCGGAUGGAGCUGAAAUCAGUCGAAGAUACCAGCUGGCUGCAACUGUUUAUUAAAAACACAGCACUGUGCAAACACGAAAGUGGACGUAUACGGUGUGACGCCUGCCCGGUGCCGGAAGGUUAAUUGAUGGGGUUAGCGGUAACGCGAAGCUCUUGAUCGAAGCCCCGGUAAACGGCGGCCGUAACUAUAACGGUCCUAAGGUAGCGAAAUUCCUUGUCGGGUAAGUUCCGACCUGCACGAAUGGCGUAAUGAUGGCCAGGCUGUCUCCACCCGAGACUCAGUGAAAUUGAACUCGCUGUGAAGAUGCAGUGUACCCGCGGCAAGACGGAAAGACCCCGUGAACCUUUACUAUAGCUUGACACUGAACAUUGAGCCUUGAUGUGUAGGAUAGGUGGGAGGCUUUGAAGUGUGGACGCCAGUCUGCAUGGAGCCGGCCUUGAAAUACCACCCUUUAAUGUUUGAUGUUCUAACGUUGGCCCCUGAUCGGGGUUGCGGACAGUGUCUGGUGGGUAGUUUGACUGGGGCGGUCUCCUCCUAAAGAGUAACGGAGGAGCACGAAGGUUGGCUAAUCCUGGUCGGACAUCAGGAGGUUAGUGCAAUGGCAUAAGCCAGCUUGACUGCGAGCGUGACGGCGCGAGCAGGUGCGAAAGCAGGUCAUAGUGAUCCGGUGGUUCUGAAUGGAAGGGCCAUCGCUCAACGGAUAAAAGGUACUCCGGGGAUAACAGGCUGAUACCGCCCAAGAGUUCAUAUCGACGGCGGUGUUUGGCACCUCGAUGUCGGCUCAUCACAUCCUGGGGCUGAAGUAGGUCCCAAGGGUAUGGCUGUUCGCCAUUUAAAGUGGUACGCGAGCUGGGUUUAGAACGUCGUGAGACAGUUCGGUCCCUAUCUGCCGUGGGCGCUGGAGAACUGAGGGGGGCUGCUCCUAGUACGAGAGGACCGGAGUGGACGCAUCACUGGUGUUCGGGUUGUCAUGCCAAUGGCACUGCCCGGUAGCUAAAUGCGGAAGAGAUAAGUGCUGAAAGCAUCUAAGCACGAAACUUGCCCCGAGAUGAGUUCUCCCUGACUCCUUGAGAGUCCUGAAGGAACGUUGAAGACGACGACGUUGAUAGGCCGGGUGUGUAAGCGCAGCGAUGCGUUGAGCUAACCGGUACUAAUGAACCGUGAGGCUUAACCUUACAACGCCGAAGCUGUU